rnacentral:rRNA from 1 species
GUCUACGGCCAUACCACCCUGAACGCGCCCGAUCUCGUCUGAUCUCGGAAGCUAAGCAGGGUCGGGCCUGGUUAGUACUUGGAUGGGAGAAAACAAAACAAAUAAACA